rnacentral:rRNA from 1 species
AUGAACGCUAGCUACAGGCUUAACACAUGCAAGUCGAGGGGCAGCAUUUUAGUUUGCUUGCAAACUGAAGAUGGCGACCGGCGCACGGGUGAGUAACACGUAUCCAACCUGCCGAUAACUCCGGAAUAGCCUUUCGAAAGAAAGAUUAAUACCGGAUAGCAUACGAAUAUCGCAUGAUAUUUUUAUUAAAGAAUUUCGGUUAUCGAUGGGGAUGCGUUCCAUUAGUUUGUUGGCGGGGUAACGGCCCACCAAGACUACGAUGGAUAGGGGUUCUGAGAGGAAGGUCCCCCACAUUGGAACUGAGACACGGUCCAAACUCCUACGGGAGGCAGCAGUGAGGAAUAUUGGUCAAUGGGCGAGAGCCUGAACCAGCCAAGUAGCGUGAAGGAUGAAGGCUCUAUGGGUCGUAAACUUCUUUUAUAUGGGAAUAAAGUUUUCCACGUGUGGAAUUUUGUAUGUACCAUAUGAAUAAGGAUCGGCUAACUCCGUGCCAGCAGCCGCGGUAAUACGGAGGAUCCGAGCGUUAUCCGGAUUUAUUGGGUUUAAAGGGAGCGUAGGUGGAUUGUUAAGUCAGUUGUGAAAGUUUGCGGCUCAACCGUAAAAUUGCAGUUGAAACUGGCAGUCUUGAGUACAGUAGAGGUGGGCGGAAUUCGUGGUGUAGCGGUGAAAUGCUUAGAUAUCACGAAGAACUCCGAUUGCGAAGGCAGCUCACUAGACUGUCACUGACACUGAUGCUCGAAAGUGUGGGUAUCAAACAGGAUUAGAUACCCUGGUAGUCCACACAGUAAACGAUGAAUACUCGCUGUUUGCGAUAUACAGUAAGCGGCCAAGCGAAAGCAUUAAGUAUUCCACCUGGGGAGUACGCCGGCAACGGUGAAACUCAAAGGAAUUGACGGGGGCCCGCACAAGCGGAGGAACAUGUGGUUUAAUUCGAUGAUACGCGAGGAACCUUACCCGGGCUUAAAUUGCAAAUGAAUUAUGGGGAAACCCAUAGGCCGUAAGGCAUUUGUGAAGGUGCUGCAUGGUUGUCGUCAGCUCGUGCCGUGAGGUGUCGGCUUAAGUGCCAUAACGAGCGCAACCCUUAUCUUUAGUUACUAACAGGUCAUGCUGAGGACUCUAGAGAGACUGCCGUCGUAAGAUGUGAGGAAGGUGGGGAUGACGUCAAAUCAGCACGGCCCUUACGUCCGGGGCUACACACGUGUUACAAUGGGGGGUACAGAAGGCGGCUACCUGGUGACAGGAUGCUAAUCCCAAAAACCUCUCUCAGUUCGGAUCGAAGUCUGCAACCCGACUUCGUGAAGCUGGAUUCGCUAGUAAUCGCGCAUCAGCCAUGGCGCGGUGAAUACGUUCCCGGGCCUUGUACACACCGCCCGUCAAGCCAUGAAAGCCGGGGGUACCUGAAGUACGUAACCGCAAGGAGCGUCCUAGGGUAAAACUGGUAAUUGGGGCU